rnacentral:rRNA from 1 species
UACGUAUGGGGCAAGCGUUAUCCGGAAUUAUUGGGCGUAAAGAGUGCGUAGGUGGUUACCUAAGCGCAAGGUUUAAUCUUGAGGCUCAACCUCAUUCUGCCUUGCGAACUGGGCUACUUGAGUGCAGGAGGGGAAAGCGGAAUUCCCAGUGUAGCGGUGAAAUGCGUAGAUAUUGGGAAGAACACCGGUGGCGAAGGCGGCUUUCUGGACUGUAACUGACACUGAGGCACGAAAGCGUGGGGAGCAAACAGGAUUAGAUACCCUGGUAGUCCCU